GCGUAAUUGGUUUAGUGGUAAAAUUCUCCGUUGCCAGUCACAUGCCCUUCCUUCCUCGAUCGACAUUGAUACAAUUUUUAACCAAUAAUCUCUUUACGCCAAUAGGGUUCCUUCGGAACCCCAUUUAGCGUAAAGAGCCCUGGGUUCGAUUCCCAGAUUACGCA
rnacentral:tRNA from 1 species